rnacentral:ncRNA from 1 species
UAUCUUCAGGGCAGGGUGUGAUUCCCUACCGGCGGUACAGCCCGCGAGCCGAGAGGCAUGAUCCGGUGAAACUCCGGAGCCGACAGUAUAGUCUGGAUGGAAGAAGAUU